rnacentral:rRNA from 1 species
UCAUGGCUCAGACGAACGCUGGCGGCAUGCCUAACACAUGCAAGUCGAACGAGACCUUCGGGUCUAGUGGCGCACGGGUGCGUAACGCGUGGGAAUCUGCCCCUCGGUUCGGAACAACAGUUAGAAAUGACUGCUAAUACCGGAUAAUGACGAAAGUCCAAAGAUUUAUCGCCGAGGGAUGAGCCCGCGUAGGAUUAGGCUUGUUGUGGGGUAAUGGGCCCACCAAGGCGACGAUCCUUAGCUGGUCUGAGAGGAUGAUCAGCCACACUGGGACUGAGACACGGCCCAGACUCCUACGGGAGGCAGCAGUGGGGAAUAUUGGACAAUGGGCGAAAGCCUGAUCCAGCAAUGCCGCGUGAGUGAUGAAGGCCUUAGGGUUGUAAAGCUCUUUUACCAGGGAUGAUAAUGACAGUACCUGGAGAAUAAGCUCCGGCUAACUCCGUG